GACAGAGGUCCCGAGCGUUAGGCGGAAUCACUGGGCUUAAAGCGUGUGUAGGCGGAUCGUUAAGUACCUUGUGAAAUCCCACGGCUUAACCGUGGAACUGCUUGGUAUACUGGCGGUCUUGAGCCAGCUAGGGGCUACCGGAACAAAUGGUGGAGCGGUGAAAUGCGUAGAUAUCAUUUGGAACGCCAAUGGUGAAAACAGGUAGCUGGGGCUGUGCUGACGCUGAGACACGAAAGCCAGGGGAGCAAACGGG
rnacentral:rRNA from 1 species